AUGGGCACCCCUUGCUUAGGUAUAUUUACGACGUAUACAAACAUGGAAUUUCCGUCUACGAAAGCAUUGGUUUGGGAGAAAGCCAAAAAGCUGCUCCUCUUGCUUGCCCUCGUCUUCUCUCUGGCCUUGUUCCUCCUGCUCGUGUUCGAGCUUGCAUCCCCUCACCUGUGCGAGAUCAUCCAGGCAUACUACGCGGAGGAAGGGCACCACCAAGUGGAGAUCACCGGCAUCGACGCAACGCCGCAAGACGCGACGUGCUUGCGCCUCAACCUCGCCGCACGCGUCACCAGCCGCUACCAACGCCACGAGAUGUGCGUGACUGACUGGGAGACCGACGUCUGGCACGACGGGACACACCUUGGCAAGGCUUACUUCCCCAAGACCUGCCUGGAGAAGAUGACAGAAGCGGCGGUGACGGCCACGACGUCGACGGAGCUGGCCGGGCUAAGCAUCGCCAACGGGACGAUGCUUCAGGUCGAGAUGACACAGUUUACCAAUCUAUUGUUCGGUGAUGAUAGGACAGUCGGCCAAACAGGAUGGCACUGGCUAUGGUGCAAGGCCACGUUGGGUGGGCAAUCUCACGAGUCCCCCUCCCCCUGCCGCAUCCACCAUCUCACCCUGGCAGAGACUAGUGACAGAAGGUUCUCUUUUCGUCCGGGAAAGUGA
rnacentral:rRNA from 1 species